CCUGUCGUUUCUCCCAGGAUGUCCCUUGAAUUUGUCCGCUUCCCGGAAUCGCACUCCUAGGAUCGAGUCCUUUGCGCCUCAAAUCUCCUCCAGAAACGCGUAUGGGGACAAGCAGCAGACAUUCGGGGAUCGCUGGCCAUGGCUGAGAUCAACUACUUUCGUCGCCUACCUAAACGCUAUUCUAGGACUAGAAUCGCUACUUUUCCCAAAUUCCAAUAGCUUGAACCCCCAAGAAAGUCGUUUUCUGUGGCUGACUCCUAAAAACGCAACCCAUUCCUCUGAUCUCAGCCUCAGCUCUAACCCUGGGUCCCCUAACUCCUACACCUCUAGCCCUCGGCUCUGGCCGGCGUGUAAACUACCCAACAGCCCUUCAAUCCCGAUUCUGAAAGCAGCCUGGAGCCUAAAACCCAAACUGUAGCCACCCUAAAGCAUAGCCCGAAUUCAGGGCUGACCCACAACUCCUCCCCUGCCCACCGCGCGGGAACCCCGGCUCUCCUUCAAAGAGCCCCCCGAAAGGGCGGCCCACUGCGCUUUCUUCCUCGGGUUUGGGAGCCCGAAGAGCCCGCUCGCCAACCAGAAGGUAACACAAACUUUGCGCAGCAGACUGGGGACCCUGCCCCAUCCCCCUCAGCUUUCAGCUUUUUUGAGCUUCCGUCCCCUCUUUUACGAAUUCAUACCCUAUUUUUCGAGCCAGGAGCUCCCUCGAUUCCCAAGCUUCGCCAUGGGCCCCAGUUCUCCCCUCACCAAAGACCCCCCCCCCGCAAUCCACGCAACGCCAGCGACCUCCACGGGCUAGGGUCCUGAGCAUGGUGCCUCGGGCCCCGGCUUCCUGACCCCACUGAUGUUUCCCGGUCCCCGCUGAUCCUGCAAAACCUCCCCAAGGCCCGGCAGGACGCGACUGCAGCUCCUCGACAUCGGCCACCCAGCCCCAGGCUGGAGCUACUCUGGCUUCCAGACGCCUGCAGGCAGCGCCAGGCUGGUGACGCCACAGCCGCCGCCGCGCCGCCGCCGCCGCCGCCGCCUGCAAAAGCGUCUCUGACAUGGAAAUGAAUGACAGCUUACCUGAUGCCAAUCUUCAUCAGACUGACACCGGCGUGACAACACAGCCUAUACUUCCCAGCACAGCUCGGGACGUCAGCGGCACAGGGACCCGCC
rnacentral:lncRNA from 1 species